rnacentral:rRNA from 1 species
AGGAGGUAUCGUUCGAGGGGUUGGCUGUUCGACAAGGCCUGCAGGCCUUACCUGCAGGGACCUGUCAAGGACGCCGCCCCUCUUGCCCAAUGGGCAUCGGUAAAUCGAAGGUGAUAACCAUCUUUCGGCGCCGCACUGUACUAAACUAACCAAAGUGGGGGAUAGUGAGGGGAUAAAUUUCCUUAAGGAACUCGGCAAAAAUCCCAAUGGCCCACCAGGGCAUAGAACCUUCUACGAAGGUUCCUCGUAUUGGAACACGGGCCUCGACUGUUUACCAAAAACAUAGCCCUCGGCCAAUAUGAAAAUAGAAGUAUGGAGGGUGAGGCCUGCCCAAUGGUUGUAUCUAAAAGCGGGUGAUAAAAGUCGACCGCGUAAGGACAAUUGAAUGGCCGCGGUAACACUGACCGUGAUAAUGUAGCGUAAUCAAUAGCCAAUUAAUUGUUGGCCAGUAUGAAUGGCGCCACGAAGGCCCCACUGUCUUAAGGAAAUUCCCAGUGAAAUUGAAUUCGUAGUGAAGAUGCUACGUCCAAUUUGUUAGACGAAAAGACCCCGUUGAGCUUUACUGGGGCACUCACACGGCCCCGGCCUUCCCAGCAAGGAGGACCAUGCCUAGGGACCGGCCGAAUUUAAAUGGGCGGCUUAGACUAUGUGGCAGCCCCCCCCGUCGGGGCAGGUGAAACCCCACUCCCCCAUGUCAAAGGGGCUAACCCCCCCCCUUGGGGGGGGGGACAAUGUGAGUAGGACAGUUUGGUUGGGGCGACCGCCUUUUAGAGAGUAACGAAGGUGCGCUUAAGGUGCGCCAUGAAUGACUGAAGCCUGACUGCGAGGGGGACACCCCGAGCAGACACCCCCAAGCCCGCCCGCCCUAGCUUCAGCUAGGCCAGGAGGCGAUGGGGUGGGCCAUAGUGACCCGUUAAUUUAGAGUGGAAUAGUUAACGAUCAACGAAUAAAAGUUACCACGGGGAUAACAGCGUAAUAUCGUUAGAGAGUUCACAUCGACGACGAUGUUGCCAUGAGCAUAGACGUCAUGUGGCUUUCAAGUGGGG